GACCUCAAAUCAGGUAAGAAUACCCGCUGAACUUAAGCAUAUCAAUAAGCGGAGGAAAAGAAAAUAACAAUGAUUCCUCUAGUAACUGCGAGUGAAGAGGGAAAAGCUCAAAUUUUAAAUCUGUUAGGUUUACCUAACCGAGUUGUAAUUUGAAGAAGCGUUUUCUGCGAUUUUGGUUAGUCCAAAUCCUUUGGAAUAAGGUAUCAUGGAGGGUGAGAAUCCCGUUCGGUUAACCAAAGCGCUUUACGAUACGCUUUCAGAGAGUCAAGUUGUUUGGGAUCGCAGCUUAAAAUGGGAGGUAAAUUUCUCCUAAGGCUAAAUAUUGGCGAGAGACCGAUAGCGAACAAGUACCGUGGGGGAAAGAUGAAAAGAACUUUGAAAAGAGAGUUGAACAGUACGUGGAAUUGUUGAAAGGGAAACGAUUGAAG
rnacentral:rRNA from 1 species